rnacentral:rRNA from 1 species
GGGCCACUGGAUGAGGGGCCUGCGUAGCAUCAGCUAGUUGGUGGGGUAAUGGCCUACCAAGGCGAAGACGCUUAGCUGGUCUGAGAGGAUGAUCAGCCACACUGGGACUGAGACACGGCCCAGACUCCUACGGGAGGCAGCAGUGGGGAAUAUUGGACAAUGGGCGCAAGCCUGAUCCAGCCACGCCGCGUGAGUGAUGAAGGCCUCGGGUCGUAAAGCUCUGUGGGGAGGGACGAACGGCGCCAUGAAGAGUGGCGAUUGACGGUACCUCCUUAGCAAGCACCGGCUAACUUCGUGCCAGCAGCCGCGGUAAUACGAAGGGUGCAAACGUUGCUCGGAAUCAUUGGGCGUAAAGCGCACGUAGGCGGCUUUCUAAGUCGGAUGUGAAAUCCCUCGGCUUAACCGAGGACGUGCAUCCGAAACUGGAGGCGUUGAGUAUGGUAAGAGGGUCGCAGAAUUCCCGGUAGUAGAGGUGAAUUCGUAGAUAUCGGGAGG